AAAUAUGUAUAAAUUUCACUUCAUCAUGCAUGCAAUGAUUACUGGAAAGAAGUCAACUCACAAUGAGAGCUCAGAUCCCUCACCUUAUCACUGGAGUGAAAAUGGCAUAGGAUCCAAAGCGCCUUUAACAAAGAUUCCAUGUUUUCAAGUUCCUAAUGAUUGCCAAACAUAUGAAGUUGGAAGUCUUCUCCUCUUACUUGAAAUGAGCCCCCACUUCUAUCCUCGACUUCAAAUACCAUUUCGCCUUCAAAGUGACCGUGCUUAAUAUGAAGAUAUCCCAGUUCCUCUAUCGUCUUCUCUUUUUAUGGCUUCUACUUACCACAUUUCAACACCAUUUCACUUUCACCUCCAAGGUUCAAGCUACAAAAUCAGUUGAUCUCAAGAUCAGCCCUGCAGAAUUCAACUCAAGAUCCAGAAUGGGGCACACUGCAAGUAAUUUCGCAAAUGAGAAGAAAACACGUAAAGCACCAUCUGGACCAAACCCAAGUGGAAACCAUCUCCCACCAUCAAGGACAUAAAGCGAUCAUUGUACUUAUUCACUGUGGGAACACAAUAUUUCUCGAAGUUGCAGGAGGUUAGAUGUAUCUUUGUAAUUCAGAUGAACUUUAUGCUUAGGAUUAUUGCUUUGUAGAAAAGCGGGUAAUCUUUGACAUUCAAAUCAUGUUUGCUACAUUAGAUAAAUAGCAGUCAGUUCUAAGGAUAGUGAUAUCAAAGCAAAGCAAGAAUUAGAAACAUAAGUAAAGCAUCAGAUUAGUGAAGAAAACCAGAAGAUCACCACAAGGCCAUGCUUUCGCAUCUCAACCUGGAAACACAUGCUUGGAAACAAAGUCUAUUCAAGGAUGGAAAUUAAUAACCCGUUCAAUAAAAGCCAAAUUUGUGUUAUUCCCUGU